UUCUGCCGCCCGCUCGCGUCCCUUCCUCCUCCUCCCCCGCGCCGUGCCUCCUCCUCCUCCGCCGCGCCCCUCCUCCUCCGUCCCCGCGCCUCUGCCUCGUGACGUCUCCACCCCACCUCCCCUCGCACGGCGCACCGCACCCAUUAUCAAAACCACCUCCCCGCACCCCGCAUUGUCGCCGUCGUGACGCCGCCCCACGCGCCGUAGCCGUGCCCGUCCUGCCGCGUCGUCUCCCUCCCCCCGCGCCGCUGCCGUCGCGCCGUCCAGGCCACCCCGACCCCAUCCCACCGCGACGCCCCGCCAACGUCGUCCCGCAUCGCCGCCGCCCCCACGCGACAUCAUGUUUUGCUCUCCCACGGCCUUCGCGAGCUGGCUGUUAGGGGCUCCGCUUGAGCUGCAAGACUGACGACUGCGUCACCAAACCGCCGAGGCGGAGCGCCCAACGGCCAGAGCAGCCAGUCCGCCCGUAGCCCCUGGGGCCAGCACCAACGCCCUCCAAAGUGAGCUACAGGGCGGCCGACACAAGUGCGCCGGCCCCUCGCGCUGAGGCGCCGCCGCGGAGAUGACCUAUCAAAGCCGCCCUCCCGUCGCGCGUAUCCACCGCCUUGUCGUCGCAAGGGGACGUGGUCCUCCCGUCGAGCACCAUCCUCAUCGUAUUGAGCUAUUGGGAGACGGCGACGCCGGCGGACAUCGUCAUCCCCAAGCCUAUGUACCAGAAUGCCGAAUCAGUUCUUCUGUUGCUGCAUGUACUCUGUGCAGCUUUUCCAGGUAUAUAGAUUUAUAGGAAAAAAUUAAAUAACAAUGUCUGAGCUCAAAUUAGUAUGAAGCCCAUCACUGGAUUGCUAUUAACUGAUAUAAGAUGGGAAAUUAGGUCUCAUUUUGUCUAUAAGUCUUUCUACUCAUGAGGAUGGCUGGCUGCAAUCCUGUAUUUCCCUCAGUCCUGACUUUUUUCUGCUCCUUCCUUUAGCAGGCAUCUUCAAGAAUCACCAAGUCUGCAAUUAGUACACCAUUCAAGUGAAUCCUUAAGUGGUUUAUACAUAUGAAUGAUUGACAUCCUGCAAUGGACCUCCUAAUAUUGCUAUCUUUGUGCAGUAUUUGUAUCGAACAAAGAUAGGGUAUUAAUUUGUCUUACUCUAAAUGUGUUUAGAACUAAACUGAUAAAUAAUUGUGCCAUUUGUACAAGCCAUUAGAUAGGUGAUUUGAUCCAUGUCACAAGAUAUAACUAUUUAUAAGAGAAUUCUUUUCUUUAUAUAUUUUUAAGCAGAACAUGCUAUAUGGGAUUCCGAUUAACAUGAAAGUAUGAAAAGGGUGUGCCCAGCCAUAGCGAAAAACAUAAGCAUCAUAGCUUUGGUGAUUUCACAGUGACCCUUCUAAAAUUUAAAUACUUUAGGUGUUGGAUGUGCACCUUUUAUUAGAAUUCAGAAAUCGCAAUCUGAUAGUAGGAAAUUUUAGUUCUGAAUGAUCUUGUAGGUGGAAAUUGCAAUGUCAAUUCAGGUUUCUGAUUCUGUUGAUUGUUUUUCCCCAAUCCCCGGUGAUGAUGCUUAGUUCUUUUUAGUGGAGACUAUACAUAUGAUUCAUUGUUUCCAUUGGGCUUAUUAGCAUCCAUUUGCUUCCAGUUUAUUCAAGGAAUCUAUUUGCUGCCAAUUCGGAUAAGUACUAAAACCAGAAAUUAUUACUAUGCAAUUUGCAGGUGUAGUGAGGCAAAAAAAAAGGAAACAAAGUUUAGCAGGAGCUAGAGAAUGGCAACUUGAAUGCUUGAGCAGCGAGAGAUCCUUCCAGUUUUCCCUCACCGUCCAAGUUUAACCGGUCCGGCUGGCCUGUCAGGGACUAGCUGGAAGAGUACAAGCGGCUUACUAGAAUCUGGGGGCAAGAUGAAAGGGAUCAAGAUCCCAAAAGAAACGAGAGAUGAGCCCACUGUACAGCAACAUGAAUGUCGAGCAUAUGAGCAAUGUCUUCCUGCUGCAGUUGCAGUCUCUGAUGAAACAAAUGAGAUCAAAGGAGAUGAGUGGAAUGUUUGGAGGUAUAGGCGGUGAGUGUUAAUUUUACA